CAUUUUAUUUUUCAAACAGCACCAAUGUAUUAUAAUGGAGUGUAUCAUUUAUUCUAUCAAUACAAUCCAAAAGGAUCAGUAUGGGGCAAUAUUAUUUGGGCUCAUUCAGUCUCAAAAGACUUGAUAAAUUGGAUCCAUUUAGAACCUGCAAUUUAUCCAUCCAAAAAAUUUGACAAGUAUGGUACUUGGUCUGGAUCAUCAACUAUUUUACCUAAUAACAAACCUGUUAUCAUAUACACCGGAGUAGUAGAUUCGUAUAAUAAUCAAGUCCAGAACUACGCCAUCCCGGCUAACCUAUCUGAUCCAUUUCUUCGUAAAUGGAUCAAACCUAACAACAACCCGUUGAUCGUCCCUGAUAACAGUAUCAAUAGAACUGAGUUUCGCGAUCCAACUACAGCUUGGAUGGGCCAAGAUGGGCUUUGGAGGAUUUUAAUAGCAAGUAUGAGAAAACAUAGAGGGAUGGCAUUGUUGUAUAGAAGUAGAGAUUUUAUGAAAUGGAUCAAAGCCCAACAUCCACUUCAUUCAUCUACUAAUACUGGAAAUUGGGAGUGUCCUGAUUUUUUCCCUGUAUUAUUUAAUAGUACCAAUGGUUUAGAUGUAUCGUAUCGCGGAAAAAAUGUUAAAUAUGUCCUCAAGAAUAGUCUUGAUGUUGCUAGGUUUGAUUAUUACACUAUUGGCAUGUAUCACACCAAAAUAGAUAGGUAUAUUCCGAAUAACAAUUCAAUUGAUGGUUGGAAGGGAUUGAGAAUCGACUAUGGUAAUUUCUAUGCAUCGAAGACAUUCUAUGAUCCUAGCAGAAAUCGAAGGGUUAUUUGGGGUUGGUCAAAUGAAUCCGAUGUAUUACCUGACGAUGAAAUUAAGAAAGGAUGGGCUGGAAUUCAAGGUAUUCCGCGACAAGUAUGGCUAAACCUUAGUGGUAAACAAUUACUUCAAUGGCCUAUUGAAGAAUUAGAAACCCUAAGGAAGCAAAAGGUCCAAUUGAACAACAAGAAGUUGAGCAAGGGAGAAAUGUUUGAAGUUAAAGGGAUCUCAGCAUCACAGGUUUCAACUUUUCCUUAUUAAACUAUAGUCUUUUAAAUAUCAUUAAUCUACUUCUUAUAUGUAUAAUCAAUGUAUAACUAUUAUAUCAAAUGCACAUGAUCGAUUGAUUAUACAUUUGCUAUAUAUAUAUCUCUAUUAUAUCAAUUGCACUGUCUCAUCUUGCAUUUCUUUGAUCGUAGGCUGAUGUUGAAGUGCUGUUCUCAUUUUCAAGUUUGAACGAGGCCGAACAAUUUGAUCCUAGAUGGGCUGACCUAUAUGCCCAAGACGUUUGUGCCAUUAAGGGUUCGACUAUCCAAGGUGGGCUUGGACCAUUUGGGCUUGUGACAUUAGCUUCUAAAAACUUAGAAGAAUACACACCUGUUUUCUUCCGAGUGUUCAAGGCUCAAAAAAGUUAUAAGAUUCUCAUGUGCUCAGAUGCUAGAAGGUUUGUUUCUUCAAUCCAAUUAAUUGUAAUGAUCGAAGUUCACAUCUUCUCCAAAUUGAGUAAAUCGAGAAUUAUAAUGACCCGACUUUGAUAUCAUGAUAAGAAAUGCAUUUACUUAUAGAUCGCCCGUUAGUGUCAUUAAAAAACUCUAACCUUGUUUAGGUUUUUUUUUUUUUUAAUUAAUGAGCAGAUCUUCCAUGAGACAAAAUGAAGCAAUGUACAAGCCCUCAUUUGCUGGAUAUGUAGAUGUAGAUUUAGAAGACAUGAAGAAGUUAUCUCUUAGGAGUUUGGUAAGUUUUGCUUUCACAAUUUUUAUUUAUUUAUAAUUUAUUUGAUCAAAACUUUCAAGAUUCGAUUAAUUUGAAGAGUAACGAUUUGUGUUUGACUAAUCAAUUUGUAUCAUAUGCAUAUUUUUUUUUAGAUUGAUAACUCAGUAGUGGAAAGUUUCGGUGCUGGUGGCAAAACAUGCAUAACAUCAAGGGUGUAUCCAACUUUAGCGAUUUAUGAUAAUGCACAUUUAUUUGUUUUUAACAAUGGCUCUGAGACAAUCACAAUUGAGACUCUGAAUGCUUGGAGCAUGGAUGCAUGUAAGAUGAACUAAAUAUUUUCAAAAAAAUUGGAAUUAUGUCUACAAUUAUAUAUGUCUAAAGAGACAAAAAUUGUGUUAAAUUUAACAGUAGAUGAUGUUCACAAAAAUCCUCUAUAAUUGUCUCUAAUUUAUUUUGGUGAAUUUAGAAGGCAAAGUGUGUGUAUGGAUUUUUCUAGUACCAUAUAUAUAUAUAUUAAGUAAGAAAUUUGUUAGCUUUCCUUUUUGUUUUGUAACAUAAUCAAAUGUGUGGUCUUAUGUAGAACUAAUAUUUGGUAAUAUUAGGCAAGUUGUUAUGUGACUUAUUUUAUUCAAAAAUAUAAUAAGAAGUUCAAAGAGAAGAGUACAAGUAAGUAAGUAAGCAGAGACGAAUCCUGGAUUUAAAGGGUCUGGCUAUAUUAAUGUUUUUUUAAUUUAAGCAUUAGCGAUUCGCCUUGCAAGUAAUCGAUAGGACAAAAGUUUUACCUUACUAAUUCUAUUGAGGCACCAAAUCCCUAUGAAAAAGCAUGUAAAAUAUGAGAAGACGAAAGAAUUAAAUAGGUUAUAAUUAUUGUAUAAUUUAUAACACACUUUAUGAUAAUAUUACAAAUAAGAAUAUCGAAUAUUUAAUUAAUGACGAACUAUAAAAGCAAAGAAGGAAGGAUGAGCUUCCAAAAACAAUCGCAAAUGAAUAAAGAUGCCCAAAAUAGAGUAACCUAACGAAGUCGAUACUUCCAUUCAUAAUCAAAUCUGUUCAAAAACACUUGAUGGUUUAUUUUUAACUUUAAGAGAUGUAUCAUAUCGUCUCUUAUUAUUCUUUUAGGGCUAUUCGCCGUAGGAAUAAAAUUUAUAUGAUCAAAUUUCACGUUAUAUAAAUAAUGUGAAGAAAAAACUUAUACUUUUCAAGGUAACAAGAAAUCAUGUUUUUUUUACGCCUUCGUGGAGACUACUUCCUCGUAACAAAAAAUUAACAUUUUAAGUGGCGACUCUAAAAACUCGUGGCCAGUAUAUUAGUCGCCAUUAAACAUUAUUUUUAAUCAUGAGUUCUUUUCUUUUUUAAUCUUUUUUUAAGGUCAAAUUUACCACUUUAUCUUAUUUAUUUAAAUUGAAAAAUCCCAAAUUUUGCAUUAUUUUUUUGAAUUCCUUUUUUUUUUACACACUCAAAAAGUCAAAACAUUAAAAAAACGAAAUAGCAAAUUAAAUGGCAAAAGACUUGUUCUAACAAAAAAAAAAUAGUAAAACAGACUCAUAAAAGGUAACAAUAACCAACAAAUCACACAAAAUUGUAGAUAAAUAUUAUGCAAACAAAUAAAAAUUAAUAAUCCAAUCCAUUUAUUUAUUUUUUUAAAAAAAACCUAAAUUAACUCUCCAUCUUUCAAUCAAAAACAAACUCUACCCAUUUUUUUCACUAUAAAUACUCUUCAUAAUUUUCAUUUGUUCUUCAUUCCCAUGUUUCUUUUCUCCUUAUCCAAAAAAAAAAAAAUUAAAAAAAAUUAUUUAGAUUAAAUAUCACUAUCUGUCAAAGCCCAAUCAUUAAAAUAAAAUAAAAAUUAUGGAUUAUUCAUCUAAUAAAAGUUCUCGUUGGGCUUUGCCAGUUAUCUUAGUUUGCUUUUUUGUAAUUUUAUUAUCCAAUAAUGUUGUUUUUGCUUCUCAUAAAGUUUUUAUUCACUUGCAAUCUCAAAAUGCUGUAAAUGUUCAUACUGUUCAUCGAACUGGUUAUCAUUUUCAGCCCGAAAAACAUUGGAUCAAUGGUAUGUUUAUUCCUUUUUUUCGUCUUUUUUUAUAUAUAUAUAUAAUAAAACGAACAUGUUGUGUUUAGUCUAGAUUUAAUACUAGUGAUUUUUUUGACGCUAACAAAUAAUCGAGUACUCACCAUUUGUCAAUAGAUACAUUGACAUGUAUUAGUAUGAUUUUCGUCUUUUUUCGUUGUUUCUAAUAUUAUUUAAUCUUCACUAAUUUUUUUUAUUUUUCUUUGAAUGAUGUCUCUUGGUCAAAACAUACAAUAGAUCCCAAUGGUAAGUUAACUAUAUUUUUGUAUAUUUUUUAAAUUUAUUUUAUUCUUAUUAUAUAAUAUAGGGAAAAAAGGAUAAAUAUAUCCCCGAACUAUUAUAAAUAGUAUGCACCAGUAUCCUCUGUUAUACUUUAGAGACAUUUUUGCCGUCAAAAAACUAGAACACAUAUAUCCUUUAUUUAUCCCGAUAUCGAAUCGAUUGUACCACGAGUGAAGGGUAUAGCUCUAGUUUUUGGACGGUAGGGCACCUAAAGUAUGACGAAGAAUAUCUGCAAACCAUUUACAAUAGUUUUGGAUAUAUUUGUGAACUAAUGAUGUUUGAAUUCUUUUUUCAUAGCACCAAUGUAUUUCAAUGGAGUGUAUCAUCUAUUCUACCAGUACAACCCAAAUGGUUCAGUAUGGGGUAACAUUGUUUGGGCUCAUUCCGUUUCAAAAGACUUGAUCAAUUGGAUCAAUUUAGAACCUGCAAUUUACCCAUCAAAGCCAUUUGAUCAAUUCGGUACCUGGUCUGGAUCAGCAACCAUCCUACCUGGUAACAAGCCAGUCAUCUUGUACACCGGAAUCAUAGAUGCCAACCAAACCCAAGUCCAAAACUACGCAAUCCCAGCUAACUUAUCCGAUCCAUAUCUCCGCGAAUGGAUCAAGCCAGACAACAACCCAUUAAUUAUAGCCGAUGAAAGUAUCAACAAGACCAAGUUUCGUGACCCAACAACAGCAUGGAUGGGUAAAGACGGGCAUUGGAGAAUCGUCAUGGGAAGUUUGAGGAAACACAGCAGGGGCUUAGCUAUAAUGUAUAGGAGCAAAGACUUUAUGAAAUGGGUCAAGGCUAAACACCCACUUCACUCAACUAACGGCACUGGAAACUGGGAAUGCCCUGAUUUUUACCCAGUUUCAUCGAAAGGUACUGAUGGGUUGGAUCAAUACGGUGAGGAACACAAGUACGUGCUGAAGAACAGUAUGGAUCUUACUCGAUUUGAGUAUUAUACACUUGGAAAAUACGAUACGAAAAAAGAUAGGUACGUUCCAGAUCCAGAUUCUGUCGAUAGUUUGAAGGGAUUGAGACUCGAUUACGGUAACUUCUACGCAUCGAAGUCAUUCUACGAUCCAAGCAAAAAUCGAAGGGUUAUCUGGGGUUGGUCUAAUGAAUCAGAUAUAUUCCCAGAGGAUGAUAAUGCGAAGGGAUGGGCUGGGAUUCAAUUGAUUCCUCGUAAAGUAUGGCUUGAUCCAAGUGGUAAGCAGUUGGUUCAAUGGCCUGUGGAGGAACUAGAAACCCUAAGAACUCAAAAGGUUCAAUUGAGCAACAAGAAGAUGAACAAUGGGGAGAAGAUUGAAGUUACAGGAAUCACACCAGCACAGGUAUAUAUAUAGACUUUUUUAUUUUUAAUUUAUUAUUAUUAUUAUUAUUACUCUCUCCGUUUUCAAAAAAAAAAUAUCCCUAUUUUCUUUUAUAGUCUCUUUAAUUUAAAAAGAAUGAUCUAUUUUCUUUUUGGAUAACCUUUUAACUUUGAUUUUUCACGUGAAAUGUUUAAAAUCACGAGAUUAAAGAGCAUUUUGGUUACAUUUGACAUAACUGAAAUUUAGAAACACAAGAUUAAAGGACAUUUUGGUACAUUUGACAUAACUUGAAUUUAAAACCACAUAAUUAAAGGGCAUUUUGGUACAUUUGAAUUAGAACAUUUUGAUACAUUUGACAUAACAUGAAUUUAGAACCACAAGAUUAAAAAAUCUUCUUUCUUUUUUCUUAAAUUUCGUUCCAAGUCAAAUUAGGUCAUUCUUUUUUAAUUACUCCCUCCGUCUAAUUUUAUGUAACAACAUUUGACCGGACGGAGAGUUUUAAGAAAUAAAUAAAACACUUUGAGAUGUGUACCAAAUUGCUCUCCAAAAAUACUCACUUUUCUCUCUCCUCAUAAAUGUAUUUGAGUACUAUUUUUAAAAUUAAGCGAGUCCAACAAGAAUAAAAUAGAAACUGUACUUUUAAAUAUUUACCAUAUAAAAAAAUGUGAUUUUUUUUUUUUGAAAACUGAUCAAAAAGAAAAUGAUAUCACUCGACGAUGAAAGUGUUUAAUAAUGAAAAAACAUGACAGGCUGAUGUUGAAGUGACAUUCUCAUUUGCAAGUUUGGAUAAGGCAGAGUCAUUUGAUCCUAAAUGGAAUGAUAUGUAUGCACAAGAUGUUUGUGGACUCAAGGGUGCAGAUGUUCAAGGUGGGCUUGGGCCAUUUGGUCUUGCUACAUUAGCUACUGAAAACUUGGAAGAAAACACACCGGUUUUCUUCCGAGUUUUCAAAGCACAGCAAAACUACAAGGUUCUCUUGUGUUCUGACGCUAAAAGGUACUACUUAUUGAAUUUUUAACUUGUUGGUAACGUUUUCGACGGUAUAAUAUCGAGAAGUUGAGAAAUUGACAAAUCUUUUGUUUUAUGUCUGAUAGGUCAACUCUUAAGUUCAAUGAAACAAUGUACAAAGCUUCAUUUGCUGGAUUUGUUGAUGUUGAUUUGGCUGACAAGAAAUUGUCACUCAGAAGCUUGGUAACUUCUCUUUCUAUCGUUAAUCAAAAAUCUAAACGAACAUUUGAAUCUAAACUAUUGAAAUUCUUUUUGUAGAUUGAUAAUUCAGUUAUAGAAACUUUUGGUGCUGGUGGAAAGACAUGUAUAACAUCGAGGGUUUAUCCAACAUUGGCAAUUAACGACGAGGCACAUUUAUUCGCGUUUAACAACGGAACGGAGCCAAUCACAAUUGAGAGUUUGGAUGCAUGGAGUAUGGGCAAAGCUAAGAUACAAUAUUGAAGAAAAAAAAAAGAAUAAGGAGAAAGGAACUAUGGUAAAAGGGGGAAAUAUGAGAUUUUGAUGGAC
rnacentral:lncRNA from 1 species